UACGUAGGUGGCGAGCGUUGUCCGGAUUUACUGGGCGUAAAGUGUGCGCAGGCGCAAAGCAAGUCGAGUGUGAAAGCCCCGGGCUUAACUUGGGAAUUGCGCUCGAAACUACUUUGCUGGAGUGUGGCAGAGGAAGGUGGAAUUCCACGUGUAGCGGUGAAAUGCGUAGAGAUGUGGAGGAACACCAAUGGCGAAGGCAGCCUUCUGGGCCAACACUGACGCUCAUGCACGAAAGCGUGGGGAGCAAACAGG
rnacentral:rRNA from 1 species